rnacentral:tmRNA from 1 species
GGGGCUGACUGGUUUCGACAGCAGGACCAAUGGGUAAGUAAGCAUGCAGAGAACCGUAGCGCGAUCUCUUUAAUCCCUUGCUACAGAAUUUUAACUGGCAACGAAGAGUUCGCUCUUGCAGCUUAAUAAUCGAAGUUUAGUAGAUUCAAGCGUUUCCCGAAGAUAGUAAGGAAGCAAGAUGUCUCGCCAUCGUCUCGUUCUGCGACGUUGGAUCCCGGGAUAUAGUAAUGCAGAAAUAAGGUACAGGAAGCUUCGGCUUGUACACGAAAAUCUCAGAAGAUAAGGUAAAAAGUUGUGUGUUUUUCUCACUGCUUUUUUCCCGACAAUUAAUAGAAAACUAAGCAUGUAGAAGGCUUAUGUAUUGCCUGUUUGGACGAGGGUUCGAAUCCCUCCAGCUCCACAA